rnacentral:rRNA from 1 species
UACGGAGGGUGCAAGCGUUGCUCGGAAUUAUUGGGCGUAAAGCGCGUGCAGGCGGUCUUGCCAGUCUGAUGUGAAAUCUCCCCGCUCAACGGGGAGCAGCCAUUGGAAACUACAAGACUGGAGUCUGACAGAGGUAGGCGGAAUUCCGGGUGGAGUGGUGAAAUGCGUAGAGAUCCGGAGGAACACCAGAGGCGAAGGCGGCCUACUGGGUCAGUACUGACGCUGAGCCGCGAAAGCCAGGGGAGCGAACGGG